ACUAAGCGUACACGGUGGAUGCCCUGGCAGUCAGAGGCGAUGAAGGACGUGCUAAUCUGCGAAAAGCGCCGGCGAGGUGAUAUGAACCUUUGACCCGGCGAUGUCCGAAUGGGGAAACCCAGUGCAAUCCGUUGCACUAUCGUUAACUGAAUACAUAGGUUAACGAGGCGAACUGAAACAUCUAAGUACCCCGAGGAAAAGAAAUCAACCGAGAUUCCCCCAGUAGCGGCGAGCGAACGGGGAGCAGCCCGGAGUCUGAAUCAGCUUGUGUGUUAGUGGAACGGUCUGGAAAGUCCGACGGUACAGGGUGAUAGUCCCGUACACGAAAGCACACAUGCUGUGAACUCGAAGAGUAGGGCGGGACACGUGGUAUCCUGUCUGAAUAUGGGGGGACCAUCCUCCAAGGCUAAAUACUCCUGACUGACCGAUAGUGAACCAGUACCGUGAGGGAAAGGCGAAAAGAACCCCGGCGAGGGGAGUGAAAAAGAACCUGAAACCGUGUACGUACAAGCAGUGGGAGCCUCUUUAUGGGGUGACUGCGUACCUUUUGUAUAAUGGGUCAGCGACUUAUAUUCUGUAGCAAGGUUAACCGUAUAGGGGAGCCGAAGGGAAACCGAGUCUUAACUGGGCGUUAAGUUGCAGGGUAUAGACCCGAAACCCGGUGAUCUAGCCAUGGGCAGGUUGAAGGUUGGGUAACACUAACUGGAGGACCGAACCGACUAAUGUUGAAAAAUUAGCGGAUGACCUGUGGCUGGGGGUGAAAGGCCAAUCAAACCGGGAGAUAGCUGGUUCUCCCCGAAAGCUAUUUAGGUAGCGCCUCGUGAACUCAUCUUCGGGGGUAGAGCACUGUUUCGGCUAGGGGGCCAUCCCGGCUUACCAACCCGAUGCAAACUACGAAUACCGAAGAAUGUUAUCACGGGAGACACACGGCGGGUGCUAACGUCCGUCGUGAAGAGGGAAACAACCCAGACCGCCAGCUAAGGUCCCAAAGUCAUGGUUAAGUGGGAAACGAUGUGGGAAGGCACAGACAGCCAGGAUGUUGGCUUAGAAGCAGCCAUCAUUUAAAGAAAGCGUAAUAGCUCACUGGUCGAGUCGGCCUGCGCGGAAGAUGUAACGGGGCUAAACCAUGCACCGAAGCUGCGGCAGCGACACUAUGUGUUGUUGGGUAGGGGAGCGUUCUGUAAGCCGUUGAAGGUGUGCUGUGAGGCAUGCUGGAGGUAUCAGAAGUGCGAAUGCUGACAUAAGUAACGAUAAAGCGGGUGAAAAGCCCGCUCGCCGGAAGACCAAGGGUUCCUGUCCAACGUUAAUCGGGGCAGGGUGAGUCGACCCCUAAGGCGAGGCCGAAAGGCGUAGUCGAUGGGAAACAGGUUAAUAUUCCUGUACUUGGUGUUACUGCGAAGGGGGGACGGAGAAGGCUAUGUCAGCCGGGCGACGGUUGUCCCGGUUUAAGCAUGUAGGCGGAGGUUCCAGGUAAAUCCGGUACCUUUUAACGCUGAGGUGUGAUGACGAGGCACUACGGUGCUGAAGUGAUAAAUGCCCUGCUUCCAGGAAAAGCCUCUAAGCAUCAGGUAACACGAAAUCGUACCCCAAACCGACACAGGUGGUCAGGUAGAGAAUACCAAGGCGCUUGAGAGAACUCGGGUGAAGGAACUAGGCAAAAUGGUGCCGUAACUUCGGGAGAAGGCACGCUGAUGUGUAGGUGAAGCCCCUGCGGGCGGAGCUGAAAUCAGUCGAAGAUACCAGCUGGCUGCAACUGUUUAUUAAAAACACAGCACUGUGCAAACACGAAAGUGGACGUAUACGGUGUGACGCCUGCCCGGUGCCGGAAGGUUAAUUGAUGGGGUUAGCGGCAACGCGAAGCUCUUGAUCGAAGCCCCGGUAAACGGCGGCCGUAACUAUAACGGUCCUAAGGUAGCGAAAUUCCUUGUCGGGUAAGUUCCGACCUGCACGAAUGGCGUAAUGAUGGCCAGGCUGUCUCCACCCGAGACUCAGUGAAAUUGAACUCGCUGUGAAGAUGCAGUGUACCCGCGGCAAGACGGAAAGACCCCGUGAACCUUUACUAUAGCUUGACACUGAACACUGGUCCUUGAUGUGUAGGAUAGGUGGGAGGCUUUGAAGCGUGGACGCCAGUCUGCGUGGAGCCAACCUUGAAAUACCACCCUUUAAUGGCUGGUGUUCUAACGUAGACCCGUAAUCCGGGUUGCGGACAGUGUCUGGUGGGUAGUUUGACUGGGGCGGUCUCCUCCCAAAGAGUAACGGAGGAGCACGAAGGUUGGCUAAUCCUGGUCGGACAUCAGGAGGUUAGUGCAAUGGCAUAAGCCAGCUUGACUGCGAGCGUGACGGCGCGAGCAGGUGCGAAAGCAGGUCAUAGUGAUCCGGUGGUUCUGAAUGGAAGGGCCAUCGCUCAACGGAUAAAAGGUACUCCGGGGAUAACAGGCUGAUACCGCCCAAGAGUUCAUAUCGACGGCGGUGUUUGGCACCUCGAUGUCGGCUCAUCACAUCCUGGGGCUGAAGUAGGUCCCAAGGGUAUGGCUGUUCGCCAUUUAAAGUGGUACGCGAGCUGGGUUUAGAACGUCGUGAGACAGUUCGGUCCCUAUCUGCCGUGGGCGCUGGAGAAUUGAGGGGGGCUGCUCCUAGUACGAGAGGACCGGAGUGGACGCAUCACUGGUGUUCGGGUUGUCAUGCCAAUGGCACUGCCCGGUAGCUAAAUGCGGAAGAGAUAAGUGCUGAAAGCAUCUAAGCACGAAACUUGCCCCGAGAUGAGUUCUCCCUGAGACCUUGAGUCUCCUGAAGGAACGUUGAAGACGACGACGUUGAUAGGUCGGGUGUGUAAGCGCAGCGAUGCGUUGAGCUAACCGAUACUAAUGAACCGUGAGGCUUAACC
rnacentral:rRNA from 1 species